AAAACUAGGGCUCAAUCUGAUAAAUGAAUCACCGCAAAUGUUCCCUGGAGAAACACAAGUUUGGUUUCAGCUACUUCCCACAAAUGCUUUGAAAGAACACAGAGAAUCCACAGCCCAAAAUGUCACAGAGCACAAGAAAAUUGCUGAGUGAGAACCACUGGGCUGUGCAGCCACAGCCAUAGCUGGAAAACUGCAGCACUGGUAUUAUCAGGCUGGAAAUAGUUACAUCUUAUGUGUUUAAAGAAAUAAAAAAGAAACAAAGUAACAACCACCAGAGAGCAAGAGACUGAAAGAGACCCCUCCCCUCAAAAAAAUCCUUCUAGGAAUGAAAACUAUGAAAAUUUCCUAUUUUAAUUCAUGUAAUAUGUCCAUUGCUAUGUAUGAUGUUGUGCUAUAAUAAGGAAUCUACAUUUGAGGCAUAAAUUAUCCAGGGGCCUGUGCCUGGGAGGGGUCUGGGAGCUGGAACUUGGGAGGCCCAGAGUAACUUCUUUUUUUUUUUUUAAAGAGAGAGUAAGGGAGGGAGAGAAUUUUUUUAAUAUUUAUUUUUUAGUUUUUCGGCGGACACAACAUCUUUGUUUGUAUGUGGUGCUGAGGAUCAAACCUGGGCCGCACGCAUGCCAUGCGAGCGCGCUACCGCUUGAGCCACAUCCCCAGCCCAUAGAGCAACGUCUUUUAAGAAGCCAGCAUUCCCAGUAAUCACCACCAGCACCAGAUGAUGUGUCUUCCCAGCAGCAGAGCUGCCCAUUGACACUGGAGAGAGGUCCAAGAAGUCCCCCAGAAGGGAGAAGGGGAUCUCACCUCACCCUGGAAGGAAUUUCAGGAAGUGUCAAAGAGGCAUUAAAAAGGAUUUUUUAAAAAAGGAAAGCAGAUUUCUUCAGGAAAGCAUCAGUAGAGCGGGACACACACUCAGAAGGAGUGAACUGUGCUUUGGGGUCUUGGGCUCUUUCUUUUAGAGGAAAUAUGGUAAACAAUGCCAUGAGAAUUAUGUGGGAGAGACAUCCUCCAGCGGGCUCAGCUCUCCUAUUGAUGGACUGGGGUCUGGUCUUUCAGGGAGUCUGGGUUAGGUCAUCUAGUUAAUAGAUGAUGUUUGGCAUACACCUGGAUCAUAAGUCUUUAACAGCAUUUUCCCUUAGCUUUAUUUAGUCUGAAAAAAGUGCUUGUGUAAGCCAGCAAUGUAUGUAAGCAUGAAUCAUCUAGACUCGAUACUCUAAGAUGCUUGGCUUUUUAAGAAUUUAGGAAUUUAUGUUAAGGAAAACAGGCAUGGAAAGUAAAGGUGAGGGUGUUUAAGGAGCUUCUUAGAGUAAAAGUUGCAGUUUCAUGGUUUGGUCCUGUGAGCAGCUGGGACACUUCUCCAGGUCCAUGGUGGCCUCCAGGUUGCACUGUCCUGACAUCCAACACCAGAGGCCAGCUCUGCCUGCUCACCUACCAAGCAGGACUUAAGAUGAAUGUAUAGCUCACCGAUUAAGCAGGACUCCAUGAAUGUGCUGCUUUGAUGCUUUAGGAUGUCUGAUUACACCAUAAUUGCAAACAUUGGUCCUAAAGAUGAGUCUGAAUUCUACAAGCCCCAAGAGAGUGCACUUUCCUAUCUCACAAGCCAAGAUAGAUAAGUAAUUCAGCUUUGUCUUUUAGCCCAUGUUCAACACCUCGCUGCUCUUCACACAGUGUGAGCUGAAGUUGUGCACCAACAAGGAGAAGGACCUCCAGAAGCCACCAGGCCUGUGUCUCCCAACAAAGCCUGUACCUCAACGGAUGCCUUCAUGAUUUGGGCCAUGACGCAGAAUAAAAAGAUGUUCGUGCCAGGUGUGGUGAUGCACGCCUGUAAUCCCAGCUGAGGCAGGAGGAUGGUGAAUUCAAAGCCAGACUCAGCAAUUUAGCAGAACCCUGUCUCAAAAUAAAAC
rnacentral:lncRNA from 1 species